CUGAAGCUUAACUCCAGAAAGUCUGAAGAGACUGCAAGACUUGAGAUCGGGUGAGGUUAAACGUACUUUCAGGGUAGGGGUAAAAUCCUGUAAUCCCGGAAGGACGACCAGUGGCGAAAGCGUUUAACUAGAACGAAUCUGACGGUAAGGAACGAAGGCUAGGGUAGCAAACCGGAUUAGAUACCCGGGUAGUCCUAGCUGUAAACAUUGCCCAUUUGAUGUUGCUUUCCCGUUGAGGGAAGGCAGUGUCGGAGCGAAGGUGUUAAAUGGGCCGCUUGGGAAGUAUGGUCGCAAGACUGAAACUUAAAGGAAUUGGCGGGGGAGCACCGCAACGGGAGGAAUGUGCGGUUUAAUUGGAUUCAACGCCGGAAAACUCACCGGGAACGACCUGUGCAUGAGAGUCAACUUGACGAGCUUACUCGAUAGCAGGAGAGGUGGUGCAUGGCCGUCGUCAGCUCGUACCGUAGGGCGUUCACUUAAGUGUGAUAACGAGCGAGACCCACAUCUUUAAUUGCAAAUGUAUAUGGGAAUAUGCAUGCACUUUAGAGAAACCGCCAGCGCUAAGCUGGAGGAAGGAGUGGUCGACGGCAGGUCAGUACGCCCCGAAUUUCCCGGGCUACACGCGCAUUACAAAGAACGGGACAAUACGUUGCAACCUCGAAAGAGGGAGCUAAUCGCGAAACCCGUCCAUAGUUAGGAUUGAGGGCUGUAACUCGCCCUCAUGAAUCUGGAUUCCGUAGU
rnacentral:rRNA from 1 species